AUGGAUGACGAAGAAGAAACAAUUGGUGAGGGGCAGAGUGCAACAACAAGAACAGUUACAUUCAUACCAACAGCAGGAGAGGGAGAAAGAACAACAUCAUCAUUCACAAUUCAAGACCCAGAUGUAGCCAAAACAAAAGGGAGACCAAGGAUGCUAACUAUUGGUGAAGCAAUAAAGCAAAACAAGUUCUACAAAUGCUCACACUGUGGAUCUGAGAGACACACACUAAAUAAUUGCACGAACCUUGACAAGGAGUACAACAAGCCUAAAGGGAAACAACCGAAGCAGUCGAACCCGAGGAGUGUCAAGAAAUUGGAGAUAACAAAAGAAGCAACCAGAGGGACAAUGACAAGAAGAAGGGCAACACAACGGCACAACACAACCCUAUAG
rnacentral:rRNA from 1 species